CCUACGGGAGGCAGCAGUGGGGAAUAUUGCACAAUGGGGGGAACCCUGAUGCAGCGACGCCGCGUGGGUGAGGAAGUAUUUCGGUAUGUAAAGCCCUAUCAGCAGGGAAGAAAAUGACGGUAUCUGACUAAGAAGCCCCGGCUAACUACGUGCCAGCAGCCGCGGUAAUACGUAGGGGGCAAGCGUUAUCCGGAUUUACUGGGUGGAAAGGGCGCGUAGACGGCGUGCCAAGUCAGGUGUGAAAGGCCGUGGCUCAACCCUAGAACUGCAUUGGAAACUGGCAUUCUGGAGUGCUGGAGGGGUAAGCGGAAUUCCUAGUGUAGGGGUGAAAUGCGUAGAGAUUAAGAGGAAUACCCAUGGCGAAGGCGACUUGCUGGACCAUAACUGACGUUGAGGCGCGAAAGCGUGGGGAGCAAACAGGAUUAGAUACCCGAGUAGUC
rnacentral:rRNA from 1 species